ensembl:lncRNA novel transcript, antisense to PELI1
UUCUACCGAGACGAAUGGACUUUUCUGAGGCAGGGCCCAGGAGCUGUAAUUCGAGGGGCCUCAGAUCUCCCUGCCACCCACCUGCCAGGACUCAGAUGGUGUAGCCUUCUACACACCUUGGAUAUAUGGUAUAGCCUAUUCCUGCUAGGCUACAAACUCGUGCAGCAUGUUAUGGUACUGAAUACUGCAGGCAAUUGUAGCACACUGGCCUGGUUGAAGAUGGCUGAGCGUAAAACAGAAUGCAAGUCAGCUGGAGCACGUACUACUGGAGGCAGAGCCCCAUGAGAAGGGGCCAAGAACCCGCACCCAUCAAAAUCAAGAAGAAAGGCUGAACCCGGAGAGAAAAGGGAGCAACUGAUGUUGCCAUGCAGAUCCCUUGGUUGCUAUGAGAUGGUAACAUCACUCUGCCCCACCAUUGGCCAGUGCCUCCUCAGCUGCGGUGCCUCCCAGGCUGUGUGGUUCUCACGCGGGCCACUGACACAGAGCUGUUACUAUGGUGAACUUUACAAUUUCCUUUGAUUGGUGGAUUUCAGAAAUAGGCCAUCAGCGGAAUUCAUUAUAUUCAGCUAAGUAAAAAUGAAAAAUAAAUACUAUAACUUUCCCCUCAUCACUAACAUGAAGGAAACGUGACCCUUCAUGACAUAAUAAAUCGCUGUUCGGUAACUUAGGAUCCUUCAGGGGACUGAAGCGGGAUGAUCCUCCUAUGCCAAAUUUGGGUGGGAAAGAUAUUCCCUGUAGCUUUGAGUCGACUCUUCAGAGUUAAGGGCAGUGGGCCAACCAGAGUUGGAACUUCAGAGUUGGGAGGAGGUGUGGGAUGGGGCAUGCAUUGAAAUGUAAACUCUAUUGUCUCUGAAGUGAUGGGUGAUGCUGGGGGCCUGAGUGUGGAGGGCAGUUUUACAUCUCAGGACAAUGUUUUCUCAGAUGCUCUUCCAGAAAGAAAAGCCAGGAGUACUCCUGGCUGGAGGCGGCAUGCCUGAGGUCAGAGUCAAAGUAGGGUUUGUGCUGUCUGAAUCCUUUCUCCCACUCUCCCCAGCCUGGCUCAGCUUCUCAGCUUCUCAGGUGGAUUGGCCUCUGAGCCCAAGCCAAGCCAUCGCAUCCCCUGUGACUUGCCCGUAUAUAUGCCCAGAUGGCCUGAAGUAACUGAAGAAUCACAAAAGAAGUGAAUAUGCCUUGCCCCACCUUGACUGAUGACAUUCCACCACAAAAGAAGUGUAAAUGGCCGGUCCUUGCCUUAACUGAUGACAUUACCUUGUGAAAGUCCUUUUCCUGGCUCAUCCUGGCUCAAAAAGCACCCCCACUGAGCAUCUUGCGACUCCCACUCCUGCCCACUGAGCACCUUGUGACCCCCACUCCUGCCUGCCAGAGAACAAAC